UGUAAGCGUAUACCAAAGUUGUUGCAGUUAAAACGCUCGUAGUCGGAAUUUGGCAGUUCCGGAUGUGUGCACGUCGUGUGCGCACUUCGCGGGGAUUACUUUUGUGGUCUUGCGUAGGAUGAGGCACUUUUAUUAGUGAACGUCCUCACGCAACCACUUUUUACUGUGAGAAAAUCAGAGUGCUCAAAGCAGGCAUUUGCCGUGAAUGUAUUAGCAUGGAAUAAUAGAAUAGGACUUGGUUCUAUUUUGUUGGUUUGUUGGGACUGAGUAAUGAUUAAGAGGGACAGUUGGGGCAUUUGUAUUUCGGUGCUAGAGGUGAAAUUCUUAGAUUACCGAAAGACAAACUGCUGCGAAAGCGUCUGCCAAGGAUGUUUUCAUUGA
rnacentral:rRNA from 1 species